GAUCCAUGUGGAGGAGACAUCUAGUUGACCCGAAUAGUCAUCUGAUCAAACAGAGAGCCAUAUGAGGUCUGGAUGAAUAGUGAGACACAAGGUACAGAAAUGUUCUCAUAAACUGACUUGUUGGCACCGUCACAGAUGGCUACGGUUUAAUGUCAUCUUCCAAGCUUCUGGCUUCAUCCCUAUAGCCGCAAUGCACAGACGGGUCUGUCUGUCACAAUAAUGCCCCCUAUUAACUCCCUUCAGCAGAUGUCCCUUCACUUUUGUUCCCAAGCUGCAACAACACAUGGUCUCUCAGCAGCUCGAGAAUUAAAACACCCUGAUUAAAGCUUCAGACUUCAGUCUCCGCUCAUCACAAGUUAAUGCUGAAUCUUGCCCGCCUGCUAACUAAUUUAAAAUCAGUACCAUUCAGCGCCUCUGAUUUACACAGUAGCUAAACUCGAGUCAGAUGAAAUUGGGUAAUUUCUCGACAGACCGGAUCCUCGGGUGGCUGCUUGGAGUCAUCAUCGGCUCUGAUUCGUGUCGAGCAACUGCUAAAGUUAUCAAGCGAUGGAGAAACUCACGGACAGUGACUGUGAUAAGAAUAAAGCGUAACGCUUACUUCACCUGGGAAGAAGCGUCCGUGGAACAAUCACUAAUGUGCCAAGAAAAUCCAAAAUAAUUGGCUCAGUGGGAUUUUGUUUUAUUUCAAGUAAGAUGAUUCGAGGGCAGCAGAUGUUAGAGGUUCAUAUCAUUGUAUGCAAAGUAUUUUAACUAGACGCUCAUUAUUUAAAUUUCUUAUGGAAAAGGAACACAGCACGAUACGCUGCGAUGGAUUUGGUGUUC